CCUACGGGAGGCAGCAGGAGGGAAUCUUACACAAUGGGCGAAAGCCUGAUGGAGCAACGCCGCGUGGGUGAAGCAGGUCUUCGGAUGGUAAAAACCUGUUGUUAGAGAAGAAAGUGCGUGAGAGUAAAUGUUCACGUUUCGACGGUAUCUACCCAGAAAGCCACGGCUCACUACGUGCCAGCAGCCGCGGUAAUACGUAGGUGGCAAGCGUUAUCCUGAUUGAUUGGGCGGAAAGGUCACGCAGGCGGUCUUUUAAGUCUGAUGUGAAAGCCUUCGGCUUAACCGGAGUAGUGCAUUGGAAACUGGGAGACGUGAGUGCAGAAGAGGAGAGGGGAACUCCAUGUGUAGCGGGGAAAUGCGUAGAUAGAUGGAAGAACACCAGUGGCGAAAGCGGCUCUCUGGUCUGUAACUGACGCUGAGGUUCGAAAGCGUGGGUAGCAAACAGGAUUAGAUACCCCUGUAGCC
rnacentral:rRNA from 1 species